GAUGAACGCUGGCGGCGUGCUUAACACAUGCAAGUCGAACGGGAAUUAUUUUAUUGAAACUUCGGUCGAUUUAAUUUAAUUCUAGUGGCGGACGGGUGAGUAACGCGUGGGUAACCUGCCUUAUACAGGGGGAUAACAGUCAGAAGUGGCUGCUAAUACCGCAUAAGCGCACAGAGCUGCAUGGCUCAGUGUGAAAAACUCCGGUGGUAUAAGAUGGACCCGCGUUGGAUUAGCUGGUUGGUGGGGUAACGGCCCACCAAGGCGACGAUCCAUAGCCGGCCUGAGAGGGUGAACGGCCACAUUGGGACUGAGACACGGCCCAGACUCCUACGGGAGGCAGCAGUGGGGAAUAUUGCACAAUGGGGGAAACCCUGAUGCAGCGACGCCGCGUGAAGGAAGAAGUAUCUCGGUAUGUAAACUUCUAUCAGCAGGGAAGAUAGUGACGGUACCUGACGAAGAAGCCCCGGCUAACUACGUG
rnacentral:rRNA from 1 species